GGCUGGUUAGCUCGGUCGGUUAGAGCAUGGUGCUGAUAACACCAAGGUCAUGUGUUCAAUCCCCAUUUGGUCCC
rnacentral:tRNA from 1 species